CACAGCCUCCCCCAAGGGAGCCCUCCGGACCCAGCGACACCCAGGGAGGAUCCAUUAGAGAAACUGAUUUUACCUCCGUGAGCAGUUAGACAUUAAUCCCCAACCCUAAUGAUCUGGGGUACUGGGUGUCAUGCAGAAACAAAAGAGGUCAAGACAAGCAAACCUGGUGAAGAAGGCAAGCCCGUAAGCCCAGCACAAAGGAGCAUGAACCAGCGGAAUCACAGGUUCAAAGCCAGCCUGGACUAUGUCAUGGGAACCGUGUCUCAAAAGGGAGGGAGGGACAAGAAAGUUAAAUAAAGCAUGAAUCGUGUUAGACAGUAA